UAUCAUAUGAUGAGCUACUCGGAUUCCCCUUCAGGACAUCAUGGAUGAUGCUAAAACCGAGUUUCUGAUGGU
rfam:Helianthus annuus linkage group 13, whole genome shotgun sequence.